UGGGGUCGAGUUGCAGACCCCAAUCCGAACUGAGACCGGCUUUUUGGGAUUCGCUCCGCCUUACAGCAUCGCAGCCCUUUGUACCGGCCAUUGUAGCAUGCGUGAAGCCCUGGACAUAAGGGGCAUGAUGACUUGACGUCAUCCCCACCUUCCUCCGAGUUGACCCCGGCAGUCUCCUAUGAGUCCCCACCAUAACGUGCUGGCAACAUAGGACGAGGGUUGCGCUCGUUGCGGGACUUAACCCAACAUCUCACGACACGAGCUGACGACAGCCAUGCACCACCUGUAUACCGACAAAAAGGGGCACCAUCUCUGGCGCUUUCCGGCAUAUGUCAAACCCAGGUAAGGGUCUUCGCGUUGCAUCGAAUUAAUCCGCAUGCUCCGCCGCUUGUGCGGGCCCCCGUCAAUUCCUUUGAGUUU
rnacentral:rRNA from 1 species